UAUUGAGUAACCUUUAUCUCCUCUACCGUGUCUGAUCGAAAUUUAGGGUUCUUCUAUUGGUGGAUUCGAUUACGCCGGUCGAGAUUCUUCUUCAUUAGUCGAAAAAAUGCUUCUGUUUCAUCCCAUUUAACCUCUUCUUAACUCGAACAACCACUAUAUAGCCAUCAAUGUGAAGUUCUGUCUUGCGAGUCUGGUUUUCCUCCUCUGAAAACCAUCACCUCAAUCCCUCAAAACCAACCAUUAAAUUUAUUUUCUGAGAACUGGCUAGCGCAUCAAUUUUCCUUUCUGAUUUGAAGACCGGACGAUGCUCCUCCACCGUUGAAUUGCGGUUGAUCCGUUUCUGGGAGGCCAGGAACGUCUUGAGGCGGUGGCGAACUCAGGGGAGUGGAUAAGCUCAUACUGGAUUCACAGGUUGUUAUGUAUCAUAGCUUGCGUUCAUAAUUUUAAUUUUUUUUCCGGCGUGUUAAAUCCGCCUUAUCAAGUUUUUCUAUUUAGAUAUUUGUUUGACGUUUUAUAAAUGAGGAAUAUUUAGUCCGUGCGUUGAUUGUUCUGUCAUAUUUUUUUUAAUGUUUCUGUCAUGUUGAAUCCUUAUUACCAAGUUUACUGUUUAGAUUUUUGUUUGACAUAUUUUGAAUAAGGCAAUUUAAAACCGUUUGUUGAUUGUUCUGUAUAUUCAUGUGGGUUUGAGGCAACCAUUGCUGCGACUUGCUUGCUUGGAAAGCCUGCAAUGAUAAUCAUGACAUACCAGAAGAUGUAGAUAUACCAUUGUAUAUCGAACCUUCAACUUGAUCACUUUUUGACGGUUGUAACAACUAUAAACGCAAGACGGGUCAAAGCAGAGAUUAUAUGCACACUCAUCAUGAAGUACGCAGAGAAUUGGUUGCCACUAAUCGAAGAUGAUUUGGAAAUAAUACGAGGUUACAGGUCAGGAAACAUUGAGUUGCAGUUCAGUGUUGAACGAGAGAGAACGGAGGAAAGAAGUUUAGGAUGUUAAGAACAAAAGUGAAUCAUAGAAAGCUUAGUAAGUGUGCUUCAUACACAACCUGGAACAGUACCAUGCCAGUUUCUGUUGAGCUAUGCUCGCAUAUUUCGAUGGUGACUAACGGCGAAGCGCAGCAGAGGAUCUUAUAUACCAAAUAAGUCAAUAAGAAGAUGGCACAAAGAGAAAAAAGAAAGUAAUGAUCAAGAAAACAAUUACCAAAAAGUCUCUAAAAGCUUCUGGACAUCUGAUUUAUCUGGGAAUGCUUCUAAGGAUCUGCUGCUAAUGCAUAAAGUAAUUUUUACUUUCUAUAAAAUAAUUUACAAUCUUUUAUGUUCGUUUGUUUUCCUUUUGCGACAACUGAGGACUUUUUUGCUGUCCACUUGCAAACUUCUUGCACAUAUUGUUGUACGGUGAUGGUAUCUUGAAUUGUUGUAUGCAGUCGGUGCAAAUACUGUCAGAUUUGUGAUAAGUCUUAUGAAGCUAAACAGAGGCGUGAAGACAUGAAGACAUCCUGUUAAUUUCAAUGAUACACGUACAUUAUAAACCGAUGUCGAAAUAUAUUGAAAUUUUUUGUAAUGCUCAGGUUUAAUUAUUAAAAUAUGAUAUUUUUACUAAUUAGAGUUACAUUUCUCAAAUAUAUUGUUUUAAAUAUAAACAAAAGUAGGUUAAAUUUAUAUUUUCACAUACACAACAAUUCUGAAAACUCAUUAAAAUUUGCUAAAAAUAAACGUAGUUAUUAUUAUAAAUUAGAGUUAUAAACCCGCGCUCAGUAUAUAUAUAUUUUUAAAUAUAAUCCAUUAGAGAUUCAAAGUAAUCCUUUGCUUUAUGAUCCAUUAAAUAUAAUCCUUAGGUUUAUGAUUCAUUAGAGAUUCAAAGUAACAAAAUAAAUUCGCUUUUCAGUUUUGAAAAGAGAAUUAUGAGUUAAAAAUGAGAUAUUACUAUCCAAUAUUCAUAUAUGUAUCUCUAUCCUCAAUGUAAAACAUAAUAUCUAACUAUUACAAAACAUUUAUAUAUAAAAAGAUUAAUAUAUUUUUUUUGUCAAAAGGUUAAUAUAUUUUUAUGAGAUUAUUAAAAUAUCAUCAUAUAUAUAGAUGUUUUUUUAAUGCCACUGUAAAAAACGUAUUUUAUUUAUUUAUUCCAUAAAAAAUAUUAACAGUUAGCCAUUAAACUAAAUUAUUUUAACAAAACAAUUAAACAACCACAAAAUGAAGCUCACGGAGUUGUUAUAAUGGAGUUGUGAUAAUCAGUGGCAGAUCUAGAAUAUUUUUAUAGUGGGGACAUAUAUUAUUUAAAUAUAAAAUAAAAAUACUUAUUACAAUUAUUUGUUCAUAUAAAACAUAUUCUGUUCAAAUUUUGUUAAAUAAGAACUAUUAUUGCAUAAACAAAAUUUUGAGAAUAUAUAUAUAUAUAUAUAUAUAUAUAUAUAUAUAUAUAUAUAGUUUAAAAUUUAUUUUCUAUUAUAAUAUAUUUUUUUAAUUUUUAAUAUCAUUAAAGUAAAUAUACAUUCUGAGAAAUAUUUACAUAAUAGAUAAUUAAAUUAAAUGAUUAAAAUAAAACUUGGUAAAAAGAAUAUGCGAGAAAAAAAUGGAAGAGUAUGCGAGCAAUAUAUCAUAGGACAUACCGACAUAGAUUCAAAAAUAUGUGGAAAUCAUUAAAAUAAUGACAUUUAUGGGAGAGGUAAAUUAGGAAAUAGUUUUAUGAUUUAUGUUGGAAAGAAAAAAAGUUUAAAACAAAACAAGAUCGAAUUAAAAACGUGACUAAACCAUAAAUGAACGGGGCAAAGACUUUUAGUUAGUGGGGGCAGUAGCCAAUAACGCCAGCUUUAAAAAUUUUAUUCUGGUAACAUAUUCAAUAUUUUUAAAAUUUCACUGUGGGCAGCUGCCCCCUCCCUGCUUCAUGUAGAUCCGCCCAUGGUUAUAAUAUAUAUUAGCCGACCAUUUUUUCAUUGAAACUGUACUCACACAAAAAAAUUACACCAGUAUUAUAUAAUAUUAAACCUUUUCAGAUUAGAUGUCGUUCUAAUUUUUUCACAUUAAUUAAGAAAAAUGUUAAAUGUUCCGUUUAAUCGUUUACCCCUAUUUAGUUAUUUAAAAUUUAUUAAUUCUUUUCUACUAUUAUGUAAGGAUUAAACAAAAUUAACACAUAUUAAUUUGAAAGCAUACAACCUCACUCACACCACAUCUAAUUUUUCAUGCGGUUGACCUCUGGUAAUCAUUUCCUCGCACACAUCAUUUAGUAAAGCAAACAACACUUACACAUAUGAGUUCCAAAGCAAAUCUAACACACUACCAAUAAGAGCUACACCAUAUUUUCCCCAAACAUCUUAACAACCAUAAACAUUAUUAUACAUUUUUUUUCAUAUCCUAACAUAAAACACAUGCAAAGAAAACAUACAAUAAUAUAGACAUAUACAUCAUAUGUAAAUCAUAUCCCGCCCGUAGGGCGGGCCGAUCCUAGUUAUUAAUAUUUAUGUGUAUAUAUAAUUCUAAAGUUUGGUAUUCAAUAUUUAAUCCUAAAAAUAAAGGGCAAACUAAGAAUGAAAUCUGUAACAGACUAAGAAGUUUUAUAGCAUAAUAGCCUAGUUGAAUAAUUAAUGUGCAUUGGAUAUAAUUAACUAUUAUCUUUGAACUAAUAAUUUAUAUGCAUUGAAUAUAAUCAAUAGUAUUAUCUUUGAAUUUCUUACCCAAAAAGAACCAACUGUUUAGACCACCUUGUGAAUUAUAAAUCUAUUACGCAUGCAGGCUAAAAAUUAACCCGGAUUAUAGGGGUGAUCCUUUCCUUCCUCUCUAAGAUUACAAACGAACUCUUGAUUUGCCUCAUUUCGUUUGAGUUUUCGAUAGAUGAUUCAGUGUGGUAUUGUGAUUAAAUGUGACAAAAUCUAUAAAUAAUAAUCGCUCAAUUCAAAUAAUAAAAAUGAAGGAUGUGUGACAGAGCACACAUUAUAACCAAGUCUUUAUAAUGUCAUAACUAAAAAUAAGCGGUCUCAACAAGAGAACUCCAUAGUUACUCACAAGAUAAAAGCAAACUCUUAACUAAAAAUGAUAGGGGUGUUAGAUACGGGUGAACAUUAUGACCAAUGCGCCGCUGAUUGCAAGUGACAAGACAGAGAUUGAAGAUCCAUGGUUACUAUGAGAAGGGCUUGGAGCUGGAGCAGAAUUUGAACCUGGUCCCGAUCCAUUUAGUGGUCUAGCAGCAGGAACUGGAGCUGUUACAAAAAAAAAAACAUAGUAGACGAUAGUCAAAACACAUAGUCAAAGUUGAUACAUCAACAUGCAUUAACACCAUUUUUAUCGUAAUGUCUAUUGACUUUACAGUUCCCCUACUUUAUUGUUAUAAUAAAGUGAAACAAAACAUGCUUCAAGCAAGAGAAGUCCAAAGAUCCAAAGCGUGAAAAAAUCAGAAAUUUCACAAACCAUGAAAAUAAAUAACAAUGGUAAAAAAAAAAAAGAAAUUUGAUUAUUAAUCCAAAA